rnacentral:lncRNA from 1 species
UGUGUAACCAUUUAAAUAUUAUUCUCCCCAAAAGGCAGUAUUGUGUUACAGAAAUGCUAACAACAUACCUAAAUCUGAGUAGCUGGCAGGUUACCCAAAGAAAAGAUCAACAGUUUUUCCAGCGGUGAUUCAACUAUUGAACGAGGUCUCAAUUUCGUAGAAAUAGUUAGCAAAGCAAUUAUUCGGUUGAAAUUCAAACACUGACGGUGUUGGUGCAACUAAUUCAGCA